rnacentral:misc_RNA from 1 species
GAAACCUUUAUCAGGCUCCAUCUCCAUUGAAUUUUUCCAAGUAUCGCUGCAAGCUCCAUUGAAGUUCUCCCUCUCCUUUUCAAGUCUCUACUGUUAGCUUUCUAAGCCUUCAUGUAGGCUCAAUCUCCCAUCUCGAUUUCAAUUUAGUUUAGCUCUCCAUCUCAAUAGGGCUGUGGUAUUUACAAAAUGGGUAGUUUUAACUUUUCUAUCUGCAAAAUAUGAAUCCCAACUCGUUUCUGCAUUUGGAUGUACUUAUAUUCGCUGAAU